rnacentral:snRNA from 1 species
UGUUAUGUUAGUCAUCAUACAGUAUGUCCUUUGUUUUUGAUGUAAUGGACCGUUCUUCGGUCAAGGGUAUACAAGUAGCUGCGCUCCCCUGCUAGAACCUCCAAACAAGCUCUCAAGGUCCCUGGUAAUGUUUUUUCAUCCUUCUGGAGCUCCUAUUGUUUGGAUAUUGGACCUCUUA